rnacentral:lncRNA from 1 species
CAAGAGGUCACUGCUUCUUUGCUACAGUGCUGUCCUGUGUCAGUGCACCAAAGUGACAGCUUUUAAAUCUCCUGUCUCCAUUCUGGAUGCUUUUUGCCUUGCAUUGUAUGUGAGGCUCUUUUUGCUUUCUCAGCUCUGUUUGCUGUUAACAGCUGCUUGCAUGGAGCUUUUUGUUGCCCCUGUUCUGUCUGUCCCCUGCCUUUUUCCCAGACUGUAGUGUGUAACCAUUUUCUCUGAACGUUAUCUGUUACAAGCAUGUUCCUAAACUGCCCAGGAUUCCCUCAAGUCCUGGAACUUGUGUGAAUCUUAACCACUCAAAGGGAUGUUUUUGGCUAGGAAUGUAUUUUGACCUAUGUAUGCUGGGUUCCACAAUAGUACCUUCCUGGCUUUAUAGUGUAAGAGUGAAUAAUGAAAGAAAUUCUGUCAUCAUCUUCAAGGAUUUGAGAAGUGGUUGGUUUGGGGUGGUUUUUUUUUUUUUUUUUUUUUUUAAGACUACAGGCUGAAUUUUUACCAGCUGUAAGCUUUCCCUUCUACAAAUGCAUAGCAAAAUUAUCAUUUGAAUGUUGUUGUUCAUUAAUUGCUUAUUGUUUCAGUUUUAGCGAAAAUGAAAACUCCCAAAUCAGUCUCCAAAAAGGAGGAUUCAAGUUUGAAGGACUUCAUCAACGAUUCGAUGGAUGAUUUCUUCUUGGACUUUAAAAUGAAAAAGAGCACAACAAAGAAGGCACCAAAAGAUCUUCAGACCCCAAAGAAGCUGAUGACUUCAGAGAAGGAAAAUGCUUGCUCCAAAGAGCUGCAGUAUCCAGAGGUUCUGAGUGACACGGAUGAUUCUGUGUUUGUGGACAGCCCCUGGCAGGAAUACCGACGUGGAGGAAUGAAGAACCUUAAAGAGAGUUGGAAGUGCCUAAAAGUGCCACCUCCACAAAAUGGGAAAGAUUCGGCAGGGAGUCUGGGCUUCCUUGCUGGAAGGGCAGAAAGAAGCUGUGAGGGGAGUACAGGAAAUAAAACAUCAGCCACGCCACUCCGACAGAGUGCAGAGUUGAAAUCAGACAGCUCAGAUAGUGAGUUUGAAUCAUUAAUAGAACGGAUAAGGAAACGGAAUACACCCCGGAAACCCAUCUUAAGUACAAGUAAAACUGUCUACCAGCCGAGCAUAAGAGAAAACAUCAAGCCGCUCUGUGAAGGUGCCCAGUCCUUGGAUGGAAAGGGAGUCAAGAUACCAACAUCAAAAUCUGUUUCGCUUCAAGAAACACCUUCCAAGAUAACGGCUUCUGCAAGAAUUCCUAAGAGUGAAUCUGUCAGUUGCCCGCAGUCAGAGAAAAAGUAA